rnacentral:sRNA from 1 species
AGGAAAGUGGAGGCAGGGGGAUCUCUGAGAGUGAGCUCCUGUCGUCUCAAUGCGCAAACAAUAAUCAAGUUUAAAAGCAAAAUCCUUUGCUGGUUUUAAAGGGUUAUUUAUUAUUAAGCCCGAGAGUUUUCUUUAAAAAAAAAAAUAAUCAAAAUAUAUCGUCUUCGCUUGCUCGCCCUCUUCACCUGUGACCGGGUCUUCAUUCUUUCAGCAGUGACUCCUAAAGGACAGAGUGGAGUGGAAACUUAAGGGUUCCUUGGAAAGUCAGUUGUGCUGGAUGCGUGAAAAGACCUGUGAGGAAGAAUUCUUCACUAACAACACACAUGUGUCGGUCUGCCUUACACUGUGCAGUUAGUCGAGCUCCAUUUGUUGGGACUCCAUAGAGAAAAACACAGAACCCGUGCUGAGGCAAGACACAUGCGUCACGUGGCCCUGAACAAAGGCGGUGAACUUUAUCCGGCAGUAACCUAAUCUCCUGGAUCGUUUACCAACAACACUCAGAGUGAUCUCCGGGAUUACCUUGGGCUUUGGCCAGCACCAGGGAGACUGGGCUGAACAGAAGGUCAGUGAACCCCGGAGUCCGAGUAAGCCAGCAGCGAGUUCCACUCGGGAGUGGUGCCGAGUAAGCAAACAAAAGAAAGCCAAAUUUCUGGCUCUGUGUGGACCACGUUCUCUCCUAGCGUCAGAGCUUUCCUCAGAGUUCUGUGAGAGCAGUGUUAACUGUGGACAGUCCUGGACUCACAUCACCCCAGUUUGUUGCCUCAGAAGACAAAACUCUCCCAGGAUCUUGAGAUGGAUCGAGAUUGAGAGUCCUGAGUUCAGAGCUCUUAAUGGAACGGGCAAAGUUCUAAGGAGAGAAGCUAUGGAGAUGGGGAAAGGAAACUCAGGUGGAGCAGAGAUGGAGGCACAAGCCAAGGCCUCUGUGAGUCACCAGAAGCAGGGGCAGGACCAGCCUUGGUAACGCUGUGAUUUAGGACAGCCGACAAUCCCAACAUGUGUUAAUUCUAAUACAUUUCUGUCUUUUGAA